rnacentral:rRNA from 1 species
UACGUAGGGUGCGAGCGUUGUCCGGAAUUACUGGGCGUAAAGGGCGCGUAGGCGGUUCGUACAGUCAGACGUGAAAUUCCUGGGCUCAACCUGGGGGCUGCGUUUGAUACGUGCGGACUUGAGUGCGGAAGAGGGUCGUGGAAUUCCCAGUGUAGAGGUGAAAUUCGUAGAUAUUGGGAAGAACACCGGUGGCGAAGGCGGCGACCUGGUCCGAUACUGACGCUGAGGCGCGAAAGCGUGGGGAGCAAACAGG